AGGACGAACGCUGGCGGCGUGCCUAACACAUGCAAGUCGAGCGAGGAGAUCCUUCGGGAUGAUCCUAGCGGCGGACGGGUGAGUAACACGUGGGCAACCUGCCUCAUAGAGAGGAAUAGCCUUCCGAAAGGGAGAUUAAUACCUCAUAACAUUGCAGUUUCGCAUGGAACAGCAAUUAAAGGAGUAAUCCGCUAUGAGAUGGGCCCCGCGGCGCAUUAGCUAGUUGGUGAGGUAACGGCUCACCAAGGCGACGAUGCGUAGCCGACCUGAGAGGGUGAUCGGCCACAUUGGGACUGAGACACGGCCCAGACUCCUACGGGAGGCAGCAGUGGGGAAUAUUGCACAAUGGGGGAAACCCUGAUGCAAGCAACGCCGCGUGAGUGAUGACGGCCUUCGGGUUGUAAAGCUCUGUCUUCAGGGACGAUAAUGACGGUACCUGAGGAGGAAGCCACGGCUAACUACGUGCCAGCCGCUGC
rnacentral:rRNA from 1 species